rnacentral:tRNA from 1 species
AAAGGGAGACCUAAUUCGGGUAUAAGACGAAAAAAUAGUAGUCGAAACCAAGAAUCAAUCCCAAAAGGUCGGAACGAGGUAUGUGGCUUUCAAACUAGGUUCUGGGUUCAUAAAAGACCUGAAUCAGGAACAAGGGCUAUUAGCUCAGGUGGUUAGAGCGCACCCCUGAUAAGGGUGAGGUCCCUGGUUCGAGUCCAGGAUGGCCCACCUGCACAGGUGGCAAAAACAAGAGAAGCGAGGAAUCAGCACCUUAUCCUAAUUUAUAUAUAGGAGAGAAUGCUGGCUCUGAGUAAAGAGUCCAGAGGAACCUUGAAAACUGCAUAGAGCUAGGUGAAAAAGCCUAAAAAGAAGACCGCAAG